AAGAAGUUUACAAAAAGUGCCAUUCCCAGUUCGUAAGCCAAAGCAAAGCAAGUAGUACAGUACUAGCAUCACCGCCGAAGCAAUGGCGACGGCGAAGGGCACCGUGCGGCGGCGGCAGGACGGGGAUCGCACCCGGGAAAACCUGCAAAACAGGAUCAGGUACCGUCGCGACAGGCUCGUCCAGGACGCCUGGGAGGUCUCCGAGCUCUUCGCGCCCCACCUCGCCAUCCUCGCCUUCCCCGCCUCUGGCAAAGCCAAACCCCUCCUCUUCGGCAACCCCACCCUCGAGUCCGUCCUCCGCAACGUCGUUGUCGACGCCGACGUAGGGGCGGAGACGGCGGAGGAGGCCGCGGCGCGCGUGGCUGCGAUGAGGCGUGAGGCGGGGUGGAUCGGAGCGCGGGUCGCGCAGGAGCAGGCGCGGCUGCGCGCCGUCGCGGAGAAGGUCAAGGCGGCGCAGGAGGAACAGGGGAGGGCGCACUGGUGGGAGGUGGAUGUGGACGCGCUCGGGGAGGCGGAGCUGCCAGAGUUCGCCGCGGCGCUCGAUGCUCUCAGAGCCGACGUCCUCCGUCGCCUCGCCAUGCUGGCCGAAGACCGGAAGCCACCGCAGUGGCAGUGGUAGUGGCUUCGCCGUGGGGAUCGGCGCACGGGUUCGUUCACUACAUCAGGUUAUUGCUUUCCUAAUCAGGUCAUUGUUCGGGAUUGGGAUAGCAGUACGUAGCUGCAUAUAGCAAUAUGAUACGUACAACUUUAGCUUGAAUUUUUGUGUUCAUUGCUCGGAAAAUCUUUUCGAUGAUUGAAUUGGGAUAUAUGCAAAAUCAGGAAUAACGUGGUAGAACAAAUUGUUGCUCCCUAGAGUAUGGUUUUAUCCUGAUUUUUUGCUGAUGCGUCUGAUCUGAAGGUACAAGUAUAUAGUUCAGAGUGUCCUGAUCUGCAGUUCAGAAACUAUUGUUGAAAUUUUGUUUUUUUGGUCCUGGUACUUUGUUCAGAUUUCAGAGUGUUUGCACGUCUCAAUUGACAUCUAGGAACAAGGAACAAUGAACAAGUGCUAUACUUGUUACUGUUAGUUAGUCAAAAUAAUUAUGCAAGGUGCAAGGGUAGUUAACAUGUGGCCGAUGAUAGAUGCUCCACUAAGUAUUUGUCAACUAAGUUUCCUGUUAACAAUGCUCCAUUGCUCCCAGGUGUCAUAGUUGUGAUAGAAGCUUCAUAGCGUUUGGUUGCGUUUGAAAUGGAAUUAACACAUAUAGUGCUUAGUGCCUAGUAUGAAGCCAUGUAUAAUGUCUAUGCUGAUAGUGAUAUAUGGUGCUUAAAGAGAGAUGAUAUAGCCGCAGUACAAGCAUCUAAACUUGUCUACUCCAAUAAUGCAACCUUCUCUUUGUAGGGGAUUAAAUGAUUUUAGUAUCUGUGCAUCAGUGCUAGUUACUAUCCAUAACCAUUUGUAAAUUGCCGGAGCGUAAUCAAGCAUGUAUUUAGCAAGCACAUUUGCUAUCUUAGGAUAAGCACCUGCCUCAAGUCUCCCCAAAAGGCCAAAAUUCUUCAUGUGUACCGUUGUUCUCCUUCUAUCUUUCGUGCUGCUAUCGUCGAAGUCUCGUGACAUUUGUUUCGUCACCUCGGUCGCGAUGGAUCGCACACUGGUUGCUGCCAUUGUUGAAGUAUCUGUACUGCCGUUUGAAGUUGGUGCAGAGGCAGAACCUUGAAGACCAUCACCAAUUCGCAUCACAAUAUUUCGAAACAGAAAUGCACAAUCUCAUGACUAUCUAGCGUUUUGGAGCUUCUGUCCAAUGCCUAUUGCAAUGAAAAUUUACGCUGUGUAGGAGCAGAAGGCACUCAACCUCCAAACUGAAGGUGCAAGUAACAGGAUAUAUAGAUUUUACUCCUGAAUGUAUUAGAAUAUUUGUAUGCGUAUUAUGGUGCAAGUAUAAACCGUAUAUACGCUGCAGGGCCGGUGCGGCAUGUUUAUCUUUGUGUAACUUGAUUGGUAGGUUGUUGGAGAAUCUCUAUCUUGUAUAGUUAACUUGGAGAUCAAUCCAACAACCUAACCAACUAAAUCCUUGUAAACCCUAGCCGCAUUGUGGCCUAUAUAUAACACGC